rnacentral:lncRNA from 1 species
CAAAAAUCCUGCUGUGCUUCAUUUCACUAUUUAAAUCCAUUAGUAAAUACAAUCCCAAGCAACACUAUUUUGUAAACAUUUAUAUUUUUAGUUGUAGGUGAGCAUAAUAUCUUUAUUUUAUUUUUAUAUGGUGCUAAGGAUUGAACCCAGUUCUGUGCUAGGCAAGUGCUCUACCUCUGAGCCACAACCCCAGCCCCCCAAACUGCACUAUUUGUUCUCUCAAGUUGUUACAUUACAUAUAUUUCAUGAAUAAUUUCAAACCCUUCAAGAUAGACAAACCAUAUAUGUUUUGUAUACCUAUAUGGCAACAAAAACAAGAUAUAUAUCUUGCAGCGGGACUUUUAUUUUGAAUGAAGAUUUGAUGGAUGUCCAUUGUUAAUCUAAACAAUGGACUAUCUAAAGGUGGUUGGUCACCAAAGCGAACCUUAUAGCCUGUAAGUACUAGAAUUGUUAUUGUCUACCAGGGAAUCACUUUGUAUUUUUUGAGCCCUCAACUUCACUUGCUUCUUUUAUUAUUGUCCUUCAUAUAGCUAAUCUGAGAAUUUAUUUGGGUACGAAAACUUUUGAAAAUGUGUUGGCCAAGAAGAUUUUCAUCAGUGUUUCUGCUGUCUGCUGAUUUAGAGCCUUUAUCCUGAGCGAGAUUGUUAAUUCUAACCAAAACUGAUGCAGACUAUUAGAAUUAGGUAUAUUCCCCAUACUAAGUAAUUUUUAAUUGUGAUAUAAACCUAACUAUUACUUAUUUUUACUCAUGAAUAAAUUUAAAGUCUUUGAAAUAGUCCAGAUUUUUUUUUUUUUCCUUAAAGAAACAGGACAAGGUAUGACUAGGGAUUAGGCCUCUGACAGAAUUCUUCAUUUUAAGUUCAUGGUUUUGAGGAGAGUCAUCAGGCAAGAGUAUAGUCCCAUUACACUUGCCCUGCUUGCUUUUCAAAUUCAAAGCCCAUGUUGUUGCAUUGGAAACUUAGUUCUCUUUUAUAAGCAUUUCAUUAAUUUUUUUAAACGUCAAUCUGUAAAUAUUUAACCAGCCAAGCAGAAAACAGUCUUUUAUUCUCGUCUCUAUGCAGCUUUGUUUUUAUCUGAUUUAGUAUGAGUGCCAUGUAAAUAUCACAUAAAAAUUUGACUUUGAUUGUCCUUACUUUGACUGAAGAUUGACAGGAGCUCCUUAAUUAAUCUUGUUCUC